rnacentral:rRNA from 1 species
UACGGGGGGAGCAAGCGUUGUUCGGAUUUACUGGGCGUAAAGGGCGCGUAGGCGGCGCAACAAGUCACUUGUGAAAUCUCCGGGCUUAACUCGGAGCGGCCAAGUGAUACUGUCGUGCUAGAGUGCGGAAGGGGCUACUGGAAUUCUCGGUGUAGCGGUGAAAUGCGUAGAUAUCGAGAGGAACACCUGCGGCGAAGGCGGGUAGCUGGGCCGACACUGACGCUGAGGCGCGAAAGCUAGGGGAGCGAACGGG